AUGUUCACUGUUAUAUUCAUGUAUCUGUGGCUUUCACUAGGUGACUCCAUGGCAGAUUCAAUAGAGCCACUUUUCACUCAGAAAGUUGUAGAUGAAGGUGAUAAUGUUACUCUUCCCUGCAGAUAUAAAACCAGCCGUAUUUCAGGAAAUUUGCAGUGGUACAGACAAUAUCCAAAAUCCAAACCUGAUUUCCUUUUUCAUAUUCUUCAAAGUGGAACCCUACUUUCUGACCCUCCACCAAGAAUGUCAGCUAAAAUUGAUGAUAAACAAGUGGAUCUGAUCAUCUCCUCUGCUGCUGUAUCAGACUCUGCUCUAUACUACUGUGCUCUGGUGCCCACAGUGACAGGAAAUCCAGCUGCACUGUACAAAAACUAA